GACGAACGCUGGCGGCGUGCUUAACACAUGCAAGUCGAACGGAAAGGCCCCUUUGGGGGUCCUCGAGUGGCGACCGGGUGAGUAACACGGGAGUAACCUGCCCUUGACUUCGGGUUAACUUCAGGAAACUGGGGCUAAUACCGGUUAGGAAUCCUAGCUGCAUGGGGGGGGUUGGAAAGCUUCGGCGGUUUUGGAUGGACUGGCGGCUUAUCGGCUUGUUGGUGGGGUAGUGGCUUACCAAGGCGUUGACGGGUAGCCGGCCUGAGAGGGUGACCGGCCACACUGGGACUGAGAUACGGCCCAGACGCCUACGGGAGGCAGCAGUGGGGAAUAUUGCACAAUGGGCGGCAGGCGGAUGCAGCAACGCCGCGGGCGGGAUGACGGCCUUCGGGUUGUAAACCGCUUUCAGCAGGGGCGAAGCUUGUGGUGACGGUACCUGCAGAAGAAGCACCGGCUAACUACGUG
rnacentral:rRNA from 1 species